CUCUUCAGUUUAUCAGAGACUACCAAUGACCAGUGGCUUAUAGAAUGUUCAAGGAGACCUGACAGCAGGCUUAUAGGACUCAUCCAAACCCUGAAGAGCCAACACUAUCUCCUUUCUGAACAAUAUUAUCGUUUCUGAUUUCCAAGAGUAAAGCAACCUCAAAUUCAAACUGCCUGUGAUGAAGGAGAGGCGUGGAGGCACCGUCCGUGAGAGGCAGACAACAGAAAGUCACAGACCACAGUAUGAGUUAAAAUAGGAAAUAUCAUCUGGAUGGCACGAAUUAACUAUAUCCCAGAGACAAGGAAGGAGCCAGAUUCGAAAUCCAAACUGUCUAGGAAGUAAUCUUCAGAAGCAGCUGUUAAAACAGAACACUUUCUGCUAUCUGCCAGGUGAGAUGCUUGACUUCUAAGUUUUCAAUGUUAAACAGGACAAGCUUCAUUCUCUAUCUUCUCCGAGAGGACUUCAUCUUCUCUUUGAAAGACUUCAGA
rnacentral:lncRNA from 1 species